AAUGAACGUUGGCGGCAUGGAUUAGGCAUGCAAGUCGAGCGAGAAGGGUUUUGAAGCUUGCCUUAGAACCCGGAAAGCGGCGCAAGGGAGAGUAACGAGUAGUUAUCUACCCCAAGGCCCGGAAUAGCUGCGGGAAACUGCAGGUAAUGCCGGAUAAUAUCCCCGGAUCAAAGGUGUGAUUCCGCCUUGGGAGGAGACUGCUUUGUACUAGCUAGUUGGUAGGGUAAUGGCCUACCAAGGCUACGAUGCAUAGCGGGCGUGAGAGCGUGGCCCGUCUCACUGGGACUGAAACACUGCCCAGACACCUACGGGUGGCUGCAGUCGAGAAUCUUCGGCAAUGGGCGAAAGCCUGACCGAGCGAUGCCGCGUGCGGGAUGAAGGCCCUCGGGUUGUAAACCGCUGUCGUAGAGGAGAAAGGUCUGAUGAAGAAUCAGAUUUGAUCUAUUCUAGGAGGAAGUCGGGGCUAAGUUCGUGCCAGCCGCCGCAGUAAAAC
rnacentral:rRNA from 1 species